AAACCGGCCCUUUUCAGGGCCACAAAAUUGCCAUGUUCCGCGGAUG
rfam:Oikopleura dioica, whole genome shotgun assembly, reference scaffold set, scaffold scaffold_541